rnacentral:rRNA from 1 species
CGGCAUGCCUUACACAUGCAAGUCGAACGGCAGCACGGGAGCAAUCCUGGUGGCGAGUGGCGAACGGGUGAGUAAUAGUAUCGGAACGUGCCCGGUCGUGGGGGAUAACGUAGCGAAAGCUACGCUAAUACCGCAUACGAUCUACGGAUGAAAGCGGGGGAUCGCAAGACCUCGCGCGAUUGGAGCGGCCGAUAUCAGAUUAGGUAGUUGGUGAGGUAAAGGCUCACCAAGCCGACGAUCUGUAGCUGGUCUGAGAGGACGACCAGCCACACUGGGACUGAGACACGGCCCAGACUCCUACGGGAGGCAGCAGUGGGGAAUUUUGGACAAUGGGCGCAAGCCUGAUCCAGCCAUGCCGCGUGCAGGAUGACGGUCCUAUGGAUUGUAAACUGCUUUUGUACAGGAAGAAACACUCCCUCGUGAGGGAGCUUGACGGUACUGUAAGAAUAAGGAUCGGCUAACUCCGUG